GUUAAGCAGCUGCUGUCUUUCACCUGAAAUAGCUUUUAUUUGCUUCUGUUUCAGCAGAGGGGAAGACAGAGCACUGUUGAUGCUACAGGCACGUGCUAAUCCAGUCAUUUGCUGGGCCUCUGUGCUAGUUCGGUGUCCUCUCCAGGGACCAUGGCAUUGCCAGGCCAACCCACGGCUGCUGUAAGAGGAUAAACAGGGAAGGAGACGAAGUGCAAGAAAGGAAGAAAGGUGUCAGCAAGGAGAAGGAGAGGAAGAUAUGGGAAUGUACUGGCAGAGAGAGGAACAAGCAGCAGUGAAGGCAACAGGGAAUAAGGGGUGAUGAGAAAGCAAGGAUGACCACCCCCCACCACCCCACUACUGUACUAGUUGAGGCCAUGGAGUUGUGUGCUUCUGCAGGAGGGAGUGAUGCUGAAUACAGGAAACCUGAAGCCAGAAUAUAUAUUACAGCAAGGCAGUUUUAAUGCAGGAUUGAAAGAAGAACACAUGGCACACUAUACCAUAAAAGAAAUUCUUUACUGCCUUGUGAGCAAUGUGGCUGCUUCUCUGACUUCUUAAUUGAAUCACCUUGGGAACGAAUCAGUAAUAAAUAGAACUUGGAGAGCAGACAAGUGACUAAACGCCUGAAGGAGCAGGAGCAACUGGUAUGCAAAGACGUGGGGCUGGCUGUAAAUACCUUUGAGCAGACAAACUGCAGUGGGAUUGCUCUAAGAGGGAUGCUUGGCUCACUCUCAUUAAGAAUUUUGGUGCCUCUUGAGGUUUUGUGUUUCUGGAGACUCUCCUUUCCUAAAAUCCAUUUUGUGUGCUUCAUUGAGAGGAAAGAUAACCUGAUCCUUGGGUAGGCUUUGGACAUGACAUUUGUAAUCCAAAUUUACUACAGAUUUGCUGUAUGGCUUUAUUUCUUGCACAUCAUCUCAGUGAGAUGGUGUAACAGUUCUUUCCAGUCUGCUCAAGAUGUUGCAUGCAAUGUAAAGGUGGAUGUCCAAGGUCAGGCCGAAGCAAGGAGCUCCAUCUCCUGUGAUGAGGUAAUGACCUCAGGUGGAUGACUAGCCAAUGGUAAAGGACAAGCGUAUGUGGUAUUUCCCCCAAAUACUCUCCAACCAUUUUUGUUGUCAGAUGUAUUUUCUGCAUCUCUAAUAAUGUAUUUAUUAGUCCAUGUAUUUAAUUCUGUGUAUUUAAUAAAGGGGUCUUUUGGCCAUUUUCCCCAUGAAUUAAUGCAUAUGCACAUUUAGUGUUCAGAGUUGCCUGUGUAAGGCUCUAGGAUAGUGUCCUAGAGGAACUCAUGAGCUCUUUAUCACCUAGUUAAAAAAGAAAAAAGUGUCUCCUUUCUCUAAACAAACAAAAAAACCCAAAACAACAACUCCCCUUGCAUUCCCAGAUCCUCAGACUGGGGGAUUUGGGAUACCCCCAGCUAUGUUAAGCUCUGUAGACUUUUAAACUCGUGCUUCUUGCAUAGUAUCCCUUCAAUUGUCUUAUCCUUGUCUUUGACUAAUAUAUUAGAGUUUUUUUCAGUGAGCAGUUAUUUUCAGCUUUUUGGCUCAGUUCAACCAAAGCUACUUUAUGAACUUAGGUCAGAUUUUACAAAAUCUGAGAAUUUUUCAAGUGUCUAAAAACUUUUUUUUUUUUUUUCCAGAAAAGCAUCAAUGUUUUUAGUUUGUACAGCAUUUCAACACCAAGUUUUGAUGAUUUAAAUCAUGAGAGAAACAAAACAAUUGUUUGCCCAGUGCUAGUUGCAUGGUGCCAAGGCAUAUCCACAGGUAUGCUUGUACUACAAUCGUGGUGGCUGUUGCUCUGAGCUCAAGACUUCUUUUUACUCAUUUCUCUUUCCCUCCUUGCCCUAUGGCUUUCUAAAGCUCAAGCUGCCAGUGAAGUGCACGUUGGUUUUGGUGCAUUGGCUUGGCAGGGCUUUCUCGGCUGCCUUCCCUCCCUGUGAGGACCAAGUCUAGGAUGUGAUUCUCACUCCUUCUAAUUACACUCAAAUGAUUUUUGUGGAAGAAAAGCAAACACACCUUGUAGAUAAGGCAAGAAUUUAUUAUUAGUGUAAUUGAAAUCUGAACAGUCUAAUACAAGAAUUAGUUCUGAUCUGGUUACAGAAAAAGAAGGAAUACUUCUAUAGAGAGAGUGACUCAGUAAUAAGAAUUAAAGUUGUUAUUUACAUAUCUUCUUAGUUUCCACACCUUUUCCUUGGUGCUAUGCUAACUCUGCAACUGUCCUCUGGGCCCAAGGUUGGUAGCUCCAGUCUGGUCAUGGUGGAGGAGGUGUCAGGAUCACUCAUAGGCAUCUGGAGUCCUUCACUGAGUGGAGCAUGGUGCUGAUGGUUUCUUCUUCCUCACUUCUCUUUCCUUCCCUCUUUCUUUCCCCCCACAUUUGGUUUGUCAUUUUGCCUUUAACAUCCUUUUAGACCUUGCUCUUCUUUCAUUGUCUGCAACUCCAUAUUACACUGAAAUUUACUAUUUAUGCUCUCUUUUAUGUACAUUAGAUGCUGUGUCUUUUGUUCUUGUCCUUACCCCUAGAAGCAGUUUUCUCCAGCUCCAGGUCUGUAUUUCUUUAUCUGACUGUUGGUGAGCUGUUUAUAGCUGUGGGGUCUCCAGGGCCAGUCUGUGCCCUUGUACUGUCACCCCAUGCCUGUGAUCUUCUACACCAUCUCCUGUGUCUCCACGUCUAACAGGCCCUUUCUUCUCUAUUGCAUCAUUGCGUAAGAGUUGUAAAUAUCCCAUUCUUUGUAUUAUAGAAAAACUGCUUGUUGCUGUGAUCUAUGUAAAAUUAGUCCUGCAUCAUGCAAAGAUAAACAAAGGUAAAGCAAAUUAGCCAUAGCCACCUGGUCAUCAGAAAAAAUUGUCAUUAGAGCUGAACUAAGCUUUGAUGUUUUUGAAUUGCUCUGGUCUGGGGGUACCUGUCCUUUCCCAGUGCAGCAUUUCCUCCUCAGGUAAAUUGCUGUUAUGUGCCUGACCUUCACAGGGGCUGCAGUAAAAACAUGGCUGGGUGGAAGGUGGGUAAGACAAGGAGGAAGGGGAGCAGAGGAGAAUUGGUCAACCCCAGCAGCGGGACGUGGAUCAGUGCCUCCGCUUCUCAGUGUAAUCAGGGGCUUUUACAAGAAGUCCUGUCAGAGGGUUUCUGACAAACUAGCAGGUUUUGAUCUAUUGCUCGUCCUGGCAGUGUAAGAGUGUAACAGAUCAUAACUGAACUGAGACUGCUUAAAAUUUCUCUCCUCUCUCCUGAUUAUUUGAAGAAGCCUCCACUGGAAAGGCUGCAUCACUUCCCAGACAUCUUAGGAAAGAACAUAUACUUUCCUUAAGACUAAAGAAAUCCCAGUGUAAUUUCUCAGCUUCAAUUUGAGGUCACUCCUGGGAAUGCCAUUGUGCUUCCUUCAGGAGCAGAAACCUCCCCACACAAAUUGCGAUGACAGAAACAGGCCUGAAAGAACAAGGACAGCAUGUGACUGACUGGAUAAUAUAGAGAAGAGACUUGUAUUUAAGGACAAGGACAAACUGAAAGGCCCACCAUCAGAAGUUGCCUACACCCGCCUGUGCCAGUUCUGAAGGGAACUGUUUACACUGGAAAAUCUUGCCCACAGCUCUUCUGGAUACGCCAAGCAGAAGCCCUACCUACCUCCAUACCUCUGGAGCACCCCCACAGCACUGUGAUACCACAGAGAGAGUUGAGUGAUGUGUGCAGGUACCAUCUCUGCUGAAAUCAGGGCAGACUUUUUUGCAGGGGUGAGACCUGGAGCCUUACUCACUGCAACUGGGCCAGCCCUGGUCUCAUCUUGGCUGGCCAAGCUCAGCAGUAGCAUCCUAGGGACCUGAGGGUAAAAGAAUCAUCUUGGCCAUUAGCUUUCUGAACCCCACCUUUGCCAUAACUUGCUAAAACCAGCUUUACAUCAUUUCUUUCCUAAGUGAGACUCUUAGCAACAACCUUUUUGCAUGUUAGAAAGCAAUAAUCAAAUCAGUGUGCCUUCUCGUUGAAGCAGAACAAAUACGUGGCUCUGUUCCCAGCUAUAAACAAAGGUAAACAGAUGUUGGGCUGUGGUCAUCUCCUUCCCAGCAGGAAAGAUUAUCCGAAAAACUCCAUAAAUAAUGAAAAUGUAAAUAGGGACAUAAAAUUCAUUUUUAGAGGAAACUGGAGGCCCUUUGCAUGCAACUUUUCCAGUUUAGGUGUAAAUCAGUCCCUGUUUCACCUUAUGAAAUUAAGAGUGAUUGUCUUCUCAGUGAAUAUUUUGGAACUUCGUACUCUCCACAAAUCCCCUCUUGUAUUUGAUGGUUUGGUUUUCCAGCUCUGUGUUUGCUGGCUACUUAAAAUGACGAGGUUUUCUUUCUUAGCCAUUCACUUUUUCCCCUUCUUCUUUUAUUUUUUUCCCCCCUCUCCUAUUUAGACCUCUUCUUGCUCUGCCAGAUGUCUCAGCUGCACACUAUCGCUUUCCCAGAAUCUAUUCCAACAUUUUGAACAUCAACUCAUGUGCCUGGUUAUGUGUUUUCACAAGCAGUAUCAUAGAGGCAGUCAAGAGGGAAGUUGAAAACAAUAUAAAAAUGAGGCAAGUACAGCUGCAUUCUCAGUUCAUGUCUCAUCACUGGGCAUAGAUUACUCUUCCCUACAUACAUCAUCAUUAUCAUUGCCAUUUGUAGAUUAUUUUAGAGACUCAGUCUGUUCUUAGGAAGAAAAGCAAAGCAGAACCACGCACCCUCCUGCUAUGCCUCCAGUACUGACACAAAAUCAAUUGUAGUGGAUUUUGUCUGAAAAUAACUUCUGCCUUAAAAUCAAGGGGUGGCUGGGCAGAGUGGCACUGGGUGCAGUUGGCCUAGAGGAGACAGAGGCUCCAGAGCCUCUUUGUAAACUGUGUGUCCACUCUGGGGAUUAGAUCACCUGAGAGCUGCAUUUUCCCCAUCUGCACAAAUACUCCACCUCUUGCUUAUUUGGGGUGGGGAGUCUGCCUGGGCACCUAUUCCUGUGCCUUAGCUGAAAAUCAUGUCAAAUGGGAGAUGCUCCUGCCAACCUGUCAACAUAGCAGUGGUUUAGUUUUAUUUUGUUUUUAGGCAGAUCUCAGAAGAUCCCAGGCUGGCCUUCAGGAGGAACCUCCACUGGAAGCCAAGGGCUGGGCAAGUGACUAAUGUGCUUUAAGAAGCAAAACCUUGAAAAGCAUUUUGUCUGUAAUCAGUGAUGUCAUAACAUGGGGUCCUAUCUUUCUGGGGAUGAAGAAAGUAUAACUGCACAGCAAGGCUAGAGCCAAGGCUGUUGUCAAAUGUAUGGAAACUCAUUGGGUUUGGGCAUUUAUUGGGGGAUGAUGAAAUAGCAACCAAAAGAUCACCCCAUCAUACAGCUCCUUUUUAAAAUAUGCCUUACAGUGAGGCUUCCUCUUUCAUAUGAAUGGUGUGGGCUUUCCCUUGCAUAGGAGGGCUAGUGGUGGUGAGAGCUGCUCACUGGAGUCACUCCUGUGGGACGUGAGAAGUUGCCUGAGUGAGCGGCUGAGCUUUGCCACAGGGCCAGAAGCUGCCACAGGAAUUCAUGGAGAUGUUUUCCAGCUGCCCAGAGGUGCAUCCUUCUUGUCAGAGGGCAUGGAACAGUGCUUGCACAGAACUCUGCCUUGUCUGCAAGCGUUUCUUCUAGCCAUCAAUCUGCCCAAAAGAUCGUUUUUCGUUGCUCUGAUAGUUAGAGCAUGUCAUAAAGAUGAAGAGCAUUAGUGCCACACUUCUAUCAGAACAUUAUGGAUUAUGCAAAUCCUAUCUAUCGGGAAAGAGUUCAAAAAUUCUCCUGUUUCAAGUUGGAAAGAAAAGUAGAAAGAUAUGCCUAUUUCUGUGGAAAGAAAAUUAAAGAAAAAACAGUUCAGAAAUACUCGUGAGUUCUGAUCAUCUCAGUUUGCUUCAUUAUUAUUUUUCUUCUUUUUUUGGUCAUGUCAAAACAUCAAAAUCGCAUAAGGUUUUAUAAAAUGAAUAUGCACAAUUUUAAAAUAUGACAACAAGCAAAAUGUAGCCCAAUAAUCUGAUGAAGCCAAAAUGAUCUAUUUAAAUACCACCUGAAGAAAAUUAGGUACUUGGAACUUCCCCCACCCCGCUUCCCCAUCCAAGUUCCCUCUCUCCCAAACUUAUUUGAAGUUAACGUGUUACUGUGAAAAUAUCUUCAUUUUCACACACACACACAAAUUUACAUCUAUUUUGUUCAGGAAUCUUGUCUGGUUUGCUUAAGUAUCCAUAGUGCACCAUAUUCUACAUUGCAUUUUUACAAAAGCUAGUGGGGAUGCUGCCUCUGCAGGAGACAUUCCCUCCCCUGAGUGAAUAGUGAGGCUUUUACUUUGGGGUGGGAAGAAAGUAAAAACCAGUUUGAUCCAGUCCAGAAUGACAAUGUUUUGUUGUACUCCUGUUGAACUCAAACCCGUUGAUUAUAGAUUGGAAGAGAAGAAUGCCUCUAUUCAAAUCAUUUAAUUUUAUUUCUAUUCUGAGCAUCUCUUGGCAAAAGCAAGGCAAAUGCAGCAAAUGCUGUGUUCAGGCACAUCUCACAGGUUGUUGUGGAUUAUGGUUGCCUCUUAGCACAUAAAACUAAACAUGAAGUUACCUCCUCUAGGGUGCUGGAGCACUUGGAGAACCCAGCUUAACCUCAUCAUUCAUGGGAGGUCAUUUGCACCCUCAUGUCCCUGGAGACUCCUCCAGCAAGCACCAUGAAUCAGGCAGUAUCCUGGGAUGGAGAAAUGCCAUCUCUCCUCUUAAUAGUUUCCAGUGUCUAUAAAGCAGUUUAAUGUUUAUUGGAACGAAGUCUGGAACAUAAGGGUUUCUCCUCUGAGCCGAGUGCCCUCACCAGAUGACAACUGAUCUGGCUCAUUGAAUGUUUUAGCCUUUGUGGAAUUUAUAUCCAGCAGGAGAAAAUGAGGAAAAUUUACCCCUGAGUGCCCAGAACCAUGCGGAUAAUGUCGCAUUCCCAAAAAGCUGUGAAUCCAGGUCCGGCUCCUCUCCUGUAGUCUGGCAGACCUGAAGUAAGACUUGAUGUUAUCCAGGCAUCUUCGAUUUUACUUUGUAAGUGCUUCUAGGGGGGCAGUACGGGAGGGAUACAAAGGGCGUCCCUGAUAUUUUUAAGGGAGAAGCAGGAGGUUUAAAAUGCAGUUGUAAUACUAGCAAAUGUUUCAUCUACAUGCAGUUCACAGUGAUUUCUCCUGCCCUUGGAGAAAGACACACAGUGUAACUCUCACCGUGGCCUACAGGUCAUAGCCUCUUUCCGUCUACAUAUUUGUGCUGGCUAAUGCCUGGACAAGCCAAUCUCUGCAGUCACUUUAAGUGACAUGAUGGAGAGGGUGACAGAAUAAGAUUUGGUGCAAGAGAGAAAAACAGGGAGAUGUUGAUUUAGGGUCCCAAGCCUUCUUGCUUCAGGUUACAGGAGAGAAAGCAGAGAGGAGAGCUGCAACUCAGGGACACAGAUCCACAAUGUAGGUGCCAGAGGAGAGUUGUACACUGGAAAGAGACUGAUGGCCAACGACUUGCAUAAGGUACUGAACUUAGCAAUCAUCAGUGCUCAAUACACACUGAUAAAAUUCCAGAAGGAACUUGCCUUGUCCUGUGCCAUUUCUUUAGUUCAUGUCUUGUGACAUCUGGGCGAGGAGGAAUAAAUGAUUUGUUUGUAUUAAUAAAAGCUUAUAAUACCACUGUGGAUUGACAUGCUGCUUUGCAAAUUUAUCUGUGUUCUUUACCCCAAACUGUUUAUAUCUCUAAGUCUUUCACAGAAAAUCUAUUGAAUAAACUCAAGUAAUUAUUUGGAGGGGAACAGUGGUGAGAUGGGAACCGUCUAACCCUGACCUCAGAAGAGAAUUUAUGUCUGCAUGAGGUGAAUUUGAAGCAUUAUGCUGACUUAUUUGCCUGAGCACCUGGCUAAAGAAAUCCUGGCUUUUUUGUUUGCUUUCUUUCUUUCAUCAUCACUUGUGCUUUGUGCCAGAAACAUGCAAAAAGGUACUGUCACCUGGAGCUGA